UUUCUGAGAUGGAGUCUCGCCCUGUUGCCCAGGCUGGAGUGCAAUGAUGCGACCUCAGAUCACUGCAACUUCUCCCUCCCGGGUUCAAGCGAUUCUCCCGCCUCAGCCUCCCAAGUAGCUGGGAUUACAGAGAUGAAGUCUCCCUACAUUGCUCAGGCUGAUCUUGGACUCCUGGCCUCAAGCGAUCCUCCCUCUUCGGCCCCCCAAAGUGCUGGGAUUGUAGACGUGAGCCACUGUUCCCAGCCAGCAUAAUUAUAUCAAAUAAAGCAAACCAGGAGGAAAAA